rnacentral:rRNA from 1 species
AUACGGGGGGUGCAAGCGUUAAACGGAAUUACUGGGCGUAAAGCGCGCGUAGGCGGUUUGCUCAGUCGGAUGUGAAAGCCCAGGGCUCAACCUUGGAACUGCAUACGAUACUGGCAAACUAGAGUGUGAGAGAGGAUAGUGGAAUUUCCGGUGUAGCGGUGAAAUGCGUAGAUAUCGGAAGGAACAUCAGUGGCGAAGGCGACUGUCUGGCUCAACACUGACGCUGAAGUGCGAAAGCGUGGGUAGCAAACAGGAUUAGAUACCCUAGUAGUCC